AGGACGAACGCUAGCGGCAGGCCUAAUACAUGCAAGCCGAACGGUAAUCCUGACGGCAACGUCAGGACUAGAGUGGCGUAAGGGUGCGUAACACGUAUGCAAUCUGCCCUCAACUGGGGGAUAGCUCCCGGAAACGGGAAUUAAUACCCCAUAACAUGCCAGCGAGGCAUCUUGCUGGCAUUAAAGCUACGGCGGUUGAGGAUGAGCAUGCGUCUGAUUAGCUAGUUGGUGAGGUAACGGCUCACCAAGGCGAUGAUCAGUAGGGGAACUGAGAGGUUGAUCCCCCACACUGGCACUGAGACACGGGCCAGACUCCUACGGGAGGCAGCAGUAGGGAAUAUUGGACAAUGGGUGCGAGCCUGAUCCAGCCAUGCCGCGUGCAGGAAGAAGGCCUUCUGGGUUGUAAACUGCUUUUAUCUGGGAAUAAAAAACCCGUGCGCGGGGAACUGAAGGUACCAGAUGAAUAAGCCACGGCUAACUACGUGCCAGCAGCCGCGGUAAUACGUAGGUGGCGAGCGUUGUCCAGAUUCAUUGGGUUUAAAGGGUGCGUAGGCGGCUGAUUAAGUCAGUGCUGAAAGCCCCCGGCUUAACCGGGGAGGUGGCAUUGAUACUGGUCGGCUUGAGUGCUGUCGAGGCAGGCGGAAUCGACGGUGUAGCGGUGAAAUGCUUAGAUAUCGUCAGGAACACCGAUAGUGAAGACAGCUUGCCAGAGAGCAACUGACGCUGAGGCACGAAAGUGUGGGGAGCAAACAGGAUUAGAUACCCUGGUAGUCCACACUGUAAACGAUGAUGACUCGCUGUUGGCGAUAUACGGUCAGCGGCCAAGAGAAAUCGUUAAGUCAUCCACCUGGGGAGUACGCCGGCAACGGUG
rnacentral:rRNA from 1 species